AGACUUAUCUGGCAGGGGAGAUACCAUGAACAUGAGGGUAGUUUUCCCAAGGCAAGUUUCCACACUUGCACUCCGGGUGAUGAGAGGUUACUUAAUGGGUAGAAUGCAUGUGAUUGGGGUGAUGGAUACUGUGGAACACUGACUUCAC
ensembl:snRNA U1 U1 spliceosomal RNA